CUGGAAAAAACACUCUUGCCAACAGAUAAAAGGUACCAGCCACCUUGCGCAUGUAUGGACCAUGCGUGUAUUAUUCUUUUAAUGUCUUUUUUCCUUUUUUUGAAAACAUAAUGUAUAAAAAGCCCUUAAAGAUUUUAAGCUGCAAAACAAAGAUUUGUCUUUGGACUUGCAGGUCCAGCUGAAGCCCAGCUCUAAGGCUAUAAACUGUGAAUUGACAUUAUUUGCUUGAUCUGCGCGGCCUUUCUUCAUAGGGAGGCAAUGGAUCAGGACAUAUACUAAUGCAAGAGUCACUUGAUGUCUUUAAAAUUGCCUCUUCAUAAGGUGGAGGUAAGCAUAUUGUUAAGAAAGAAGCAUCAGGUACCAGUGUACAAUAUUGAAAAGGCUCCAUGCUCCAAGGCAGAGUAGAAAAGAAGUCAAUUUCCCUGUCUUGUAUAUUCUCCUGGAGACUUAUGGCAAAGAUUUGUCCCUGUGGGAUCUUACGUCUACAUCUCCGAUAAAGGAACAACACAAAGAAACCUAUAACAAGCAGGGCUGCUGUUGGUAAUAUAAUACACAGAAAUGGCUUUAAAUCUUCUUUGGUUGAACUAACUUCAUUUGGAUGCUUGCUCUACAAAGAGAAGAAAGAAUGAAAUUAAACUUCAUAAGUUUUACUGUAAAC